UUGCUUUUAACUCAUUUUAUAAUUAAAUUUUAUAAAUUCGAAUAAUUAGAGUUCAACUCAGUGAUAUCCGAACCCACUCAGGCGUGUCCACAGGUUGUCACUUGUUCUAUCCAUUACAGAGAGUGCUACAUUGCAUUUCCUUUCGGGAUGGUUGCAAUACACAAUAAGUAAACAAUUCUCCUCAUUUUUCAUUUUGUUUUUCUAACGUAGAAGAGAGGACUACUGCAUGCCCUGCUUCCGCUUACAUUACAGGAAACUAAGGCAAAUUUAAGAAAUUAAAUCAAAUAAUUAUAGAUAUCCAAGAUAUUACUACCAAAAGUACUAAUCAUCAUCCUCACUUUCAUCGCUAUAUGACACAAGACCAGUUUUAGCAACCUCAGGGAACUCGUUAGGAUCACUAUUAGGUACUUUCACUUGGUCUGAAGAUUUUUCAGUAUCAACAUCAGGUGUGCUCACAAUGUUUGAAGGUUGAACAUUGCCUUCAUGUGUCUUUGCUUUCUUUGCCUGUGGUUUGACCUUAAUAAUCAUAUUUAAUGAGCGAGUAGAUGGAUUCUUCUUCCCAACGGUUUUCCGUUCCUGAACUACAGGAACAGGUGGCUUUUCGUUCAAUUCAUGCAUAAUGGUAGACUGUGCAGCAACUGCAGCCUGAAAGACAAAUCAGACAGUACCAUAUGAGAUAAAAGACAUAACAAAAAUGAAAGAUCAAAAGUUCUAAACACAUCAAUAAAAAGGAUAUUUUGAAAAAAUUAAGGGGAUGCUCUGAGUAGUCGUGUAUUAGAAGGGAUUAUUAGCACAAUAAUUUUUGCGCUACUCAAAAUCGUUUAUAUUUUGAAAAGUUAAUAAGACUAAUCAAAGCAGCAUAUGGUAAAGAAGAUAUUAUGAACUCACUUGGCUCUAAUUCCCCUAUAGCUUGAGCAUUAAUACACCAACAAAUUAGAAUGUACAACUCCAUUUUUCCACAGGGACUACAAUCCGAUCAAUAGACUAAGCUUUCCAUGAGGAAAUGAAUAACAAGUCCCAUUAUCAUGAUUCAUGAAUUACAAUAAUAAGAAGGCAAUAUCUUGUCAGUGUUAACCAUCAGAUCUAGAAUCCUAAAUAUGAAGUCAAAGCAACACCCUGAAAUCUUAAAGUUAUAGCAGUUGUCCAACUUGAAUAAAUUUAGUAGAUUACUUGGAAAAUCCGAAGCUGUUCCUCUUCCUCAUAUGCCAUUUGCAGCUCAUAUUCCCUCUUUGACUGUUUGCACAAUAUACAAAGAACAAACAAAAAAAUUUUAUUAAUAAUAUCAAUAACAAUUCUGAUACAUGCUAAUAAUUUUUUUUUUUUUUUUUU
rnacentral:misc_RNA from 1 species